rnacentral:rRNA from 1 species
GACGAACGCUGGCGGCGUGCUUAACACAUGCAAGUCGAACGGAAAGGCCCCCACCUUGGUGGGGGUGCUCGAGUGGCGAACGGGUGAGUAACACGUGGGUGAUCUGCUCUGUACUUCGGGAUAAGCUUGGGAAACUGGGUCUAAUACCGGAUAGGACCAUGGUUUAGUGUCUCAUGGUGGAAAAAUUAUUGUUUUGGUGCAGGAUGAGCUCGCGGCCUAUCAGCUUGUUGGUGGGGUAAUGGCCUACCAAGGCGUCGACGGGUAGCCGGCCUGAGAGGGUGGACGGCCACAUUGGGACUGAGAUACGGCCCAGACUCCUACGGGAGGCAGCAGUGGGGAAUAUUGCACAAUGGGCGCAAGCCUGAUGCAGCGACGCCGCGUGGGGGAUGACGGCCUUCGGGUUGUAAACUCCUUUCGUUAGGGACGAAGCCACACCUUUUUUGGGUGUGGUGACGGUACCUUUGUUAAGAAGCACCGGCUAACUACGUG